rnacentral:rRNA from 1 species
AUUGAACGCUGGCGGCAGGCUUAACACAUGCAAGUCGAGCGGGGUGAUGGUGCUUGCACUAUCACUUAGCGGCGGACGGGUGAGUAAUGCCUAGGAAUCUGCCUAUUAGUGGGGGACAACAUCUCGAAAGGGAUGCUAAUACCGCAUACGUACUACGGGAGAAAGCAGGGGAUCACUUGUGACCUUGCGCUAAUAGAUGAGCCUAAGUCGGAUUAGCUAGUUGGUGGGGUAAAGGCCUACCAAGGCGACGAGCUGUAGCGGGUCUGAGAGGAUGAUCCGCCACACUGGGACUGAGACACGGCCCAGACUCCUACGGGAGGCAGCAGUGGGGAAUAUUGGACAAUGGGGGAACCCUGAUCCAGCCAUGCCGCGUGUGUGAAGAAGGCCUUAUGGUUGUAAAGCACUUUAAGCGAGGAGGAGGCUCUUUUGGUUAAUACCCAAGAUGAGUGGACGUUACUCGCAGAAUAAGCACCGGCUAACUCUGUGCCAGCCGCCGCAGUAA